GACAGAGGAUGCAAGCGUUAUCCGGAAUGAUUGGGCGUAAAGCGUCUGUAGGUGGUUUAUUAAGUCUACUGUUAAAGAUCAGGGCUUAACCCUGAGCAGGCAAUAGAAACUAAUAGAGCUAGAGUACCAAAGAGGGGGGUGGAAUUCCCGGGUGUAGCGGUGAAAUGCGUAGAUAAUCGGGAGGAACACCGGUGGCGGAAGGCGGCCCCCUGGUUGGAGUACGUCGACGGCCUGGAGACGCGAAAGCGUCGGG
rnacentral:rRNA from 1 species